GAGUUUGAUCUUGGCUCAGAUUGAACGCUGGCGGCAUGCCUUACACAUGCGAGUCGAACGGCAGCACGGGAGCUUGCUCCUGGUGGCGAGUGGCGAACGGGUGAGUAAUGCAUCGGAACGUAUCCUGGAGUGGGGGAUAACGUAGCGAAAGUUACGCUAAUACCGCAUAUUCUGUGAGCAGGAAAGCGGGGGACCUUCGGGCCUCGCGCUCUUGGAGCGGCCGAUGUCGGAUUAGCUAGUUGGUGAGGUAAAGGCUCACCAAGGCGACGAUCCGUAGCAGGUCUGAGAGGAUGAUCUGCCACACUGGAACUGAGACACGGUCCAGACUCCUACGGAGGCAGCAGUGGGAAUUUUGGACAAUGGGGA
rnacentral:rRNA from 1 species